GAACAUAAGAGUUUGAUCCUGGCUCAGAUUGAACGCUGGCGGCAUGCUUUACACAUGCAAGUCGGACGGCAGCACAGGGAAGCUUGCUUCUCGGGUGGCGAGUGGCGAACGGGUGAGUAACAUAUCGGAACGUACCGGGUAGCGGGGGAUAACUGAUCGAAAGAUCAGCUAAUACCGCAUACGUCUUGAGAGGGAAAGCAGGGGACCUUCGGGCCUUGCGCUAUCCGAGCGGCCGAUAUCUGAUUAGCUGGUUGGCGGGGUAAAGGCCCACCAAGGCGACGAUCAGUAGCGGGUCUGAGAGGAUGAUCCGCCACACUGGGACUGAGACACGGCCCAGACUCCUACGGGAGGCAGCAGUGGGGAAUUUUGGACAAUGGGCGCAAGCCUGAUCCAGCCAUGCCGCGUGUCUGAAGAAGGCCUUCGGGUUGUAAAGGACUUUUGCCAGGGAAGAAAAGGCCGUUGCCAAUAUCGGCGGCCGAUGACGGUACCUGAAGAAUAAGCACCGGCUAACUACGUGCCAGCAGCCGCGGUAAUACGUAGGGUGCGAGCGUUAAUCGGAAUUACUGGGCGUAAAGCGGGCGCAGACGGUUACUUAAGCAGGAUGUGAAAUCCCCGGGCUCAACCCGGGAACUGCGUUCUGAACUGGGUGACUCGAGUGUGUCAGAGGGAGGUGGAAUUCCACGUGUAGCAGUGAAAUGCGUAGAGAUGUGGAGGAAUACCGAUGGCGAAGGCAGCCUCCUGGGAUAACACUGACGUUCAUGUCCGAAAGCGUGGGUAGCAAACAGGAUUAGAUACCCUGGUAGUCCACGCCCUAAACGAUGUCAAUUAGCUGUUGGGCAACUUGAUUGCUUGGUAGCGUAGCUAACGCGUGAAAUUGACCGCCUGGGGAGUACGGUCGCAAGAUUAAAACUCAAAGGAAUUGACGGGGACCCGCACAAGCGGUGGAUGAUGUGGAUUAAUUCGAUGCAACGCGAAGAACCUUACCUGGUUUUGACAUGUGCGGAAUCCUCCGGAGACGGAGGAGUGCCUUCGGGAGCCGUAACACAGGUGCUGCAUGGCUGUCGUCAGCUCGUGUCGUGAGAUGUUGGGUUAAGUCCCGCAACGAGCGCAACCCUUGUCAUUAGUUGCCAUCAUUCGGUUGGGCACUCUAAUGAGACUGCCGGUGACAAGCCGGAGGAAGGUGGGGAUGACGUCAAGUCCUCAUGGCCCUUAUGACCAGGGCUUCACACGUCAUACAAUGGUCGGUACAGAGGGUAGCCAAGCCGCGAGGCGGAGCCAAUCUCACAAAACCGAUCGUAGUCCGGAUUGCACUCUGCAACUCGAGUGCAUGAAGUCGGAAUCGCUAGUAAUCGCAGGUCAGCAUACUGCGGUGAAUACGUUCCCGGGUCUUGUACACACCGCCCGUCACACCAUGGGAGUGGGGGAUACCAGAAGUAGGUAGGGUAACCGCAAGGAGUCCGCUUACCACGGUAUGCUUCAUGACUGGGGUGAAGUCGUAACAAGGUAGCCGUAGGGGAACCUGCGGCUGGAUCACCUCCUUU
rnacentral:rRNA from 1 species